rnacentral:lncRNA from 1 species
GGCGAGCGGCGUGGAUGCGUGCAGUGGUGGGCGCAUGCGGGCGGCGGCAGGGUAGAGGUGGGGCGGAGCUGAGAGCAGGCGGGCGGCGGCGGAGGGGUGGAGGCCGGCGGCGGUGGGCGGCGCGCGUGGGCGGCCAGCGGGCGGUGCGGGAGCCGAGGCGGGCGGAGGCCGCCCGGUUCUUUUUUUUAUUUCCAAAAUUUUUUAGUCGAUGACCCGGGACUAAAGGCCUCCCUUUUGUCUCGAAAAAAUUAUCCUAGAUGGCUUUUAGAGGGAUUGGAGGCCUACCAGCCGGGAUUAAAGCUGAGUUUUCCAGUAGUGUUUUCAGGGCCAUGCUAUUUAUGCAAUAUGAUGAGAAGAGUAUCUCCUGUCAUUUUGCUUCGGCACCAGCGAAAUGUUCUACGGUACGCUGGUGACCAAAUUAGAUGUGUGACUCAGCGACUCUGCAGCAUCUCAUUGAUCUCGUCGAGUUCAAAAAGAUCGUUACCGGGUUUGGUGU